GCCAACUCUGGGCCCUAUUGGGCCGUGUCCAAUAGUAUUAUUUUUGGAUUUUUGCUUAAUUCUGAUAUUAACAAAGAAUUAAUUAAAUUUAAACAGGUGAACCUGACUGCCUAUCUGAAGUAGGAAUUAAGCGAGAAGAGAUCCAGAGGCUUGAUCGCACGGGAAUGGGGAGUGCGUUAGAUGUUCCGAUGAUUCCAUCAGUUAUUGGUCCUUUAGUUAGAUUGAUUAGAGUAUUUGACUUACGUCAGCAUAUGUUAUUUGAAAUUUUGUAAGACUGCUUUUGAAUAAAUUUAAAUAAUUAUGUUAGUUUUGAA